CCCAAAUAAACCCUAUUUUUUCCAUUUCUAGGGUUUCUACACAAAAACCUCCAAAAAUAUUGUAAUAUACCGAAACUUCGAUAGUGUAUAUCGAACUUUAGUCAAAUUGACCAAAGUGUCCGAGAGAAAUAGUUGGACAAAAUCCAUUUAACAUUCCAACAAUGUUGGAAGGGUUAAAGUUGAAUUCUAAAAGAAUUAGAAAAGUUUUAGCAUUGUUCGGCGCGAAUUGGAGUCGAAACAAUGCGAUAUUGAAGUCUGGAGCAUUUUGUAACCGGUAAUGCAUUGGAGUGGUACCGGUACCAGACAGCAGACCG
rnacentral:lncRNA from 1 species